rnacentral:lncRNA from 1 species
AUGAAGACUUUGUGUGUUGCUGUUGUUGUGCUGAGUCUCACCUCAGUGUGUCAGUCUGCACCGUUGACCUGUGAGCAGCUGAAUAAGCCACUCGACAAAAGUCCAGACUUGUCUGGAAGAUGGUAUAUGAUAGCGCUGAGCUCAGACGUCUGUCUGAUUCCAAGCCUCCUGAAUGCCUUGUUUUGGCCCAGUCUUGUUAUUGACUUUAAAGAACAGGACACACCAAACCUCUACAAUGCCAACGUUACGUUCAACAUGCAUGACUUUUGUGACUCAAAAGUUGAAACCUUCUUCCUUAAAAGCAGCAGCCUUUUUGAUGUGGACAGCAACAAUGCUCCAACUGGUGAGCCUGAUACGCUGCUGCACACUGGCUGUCCUGACUGCCUCGUUAUCAAGGGGAAUGAUGACAUCAACUUGCUCAUGUACCUCAGUAGGAGAAAAACUGUCACUGAUGCUGAGCUGAAGGAGUUUGAGACACAGUCAGAAUGUAUGGGCUGGUCCAAACCAGAGGUUCUAAACACAGUCCAUGAAUACAAAGACUGCAAGUCCUUUGAUGACGACAAUGAGCAUGAUGUUUCAACUUUAUUGGCCAAGAUGGGUCAACGAAUGAAAAGCUCAUUUAUGUCUCCUCUUCGAUGUAUUGGACAGUAUAUUUUUAACAUCCCUUCCAUUGGGUGGACAUAGAAAGAGUUGAACAGCCUUCUGUGAAUGAACAAAUAAAAACUACACUAAAUGUGAAACA